rnacentral:lncRNA from 1 species
UUAUUAUCUCUCAUCUUUGUAUCGUCGUCUCUCUCCGUAUCGCUAUCGGCUAUCGUCUCUCUCUAUCUAUUUGUUCUCUCUUUUUGUGUAUCUCUCUUCUCUAUCUCCCCCCCCUCUUUUUUAUUCUCAUAUUUAUAAUAGAAUGGGAGAUCUAAGGAGCGAUUCGUGGGGUUAGGCGAGAAAUAUUUUGAGGAGUUGGUUAGGGAUUCGAAAUUCGAAAUCGAAUUUUGAACCGUUUGUUGGAGGGAUAGGUAUUCGAAAUUCGAAUGGAUGUGAUUGGUUAGGAGAUAUUUUGGGAGUUGGUUGGUUGGUUAGGAGAUAUUUUGGGAGUUGGUUGCGGUUGGUUGGAAGAUAUUUUGGGAGUUGAUUGUGGUUUGUUGAGAGAUAUCCCAGUUGGUUGAGAAUUUGAAAUCAAAUUUCGAAUGGGGUUGUUAGGAUAACAGAUAUUUUCUUGGGUGUGGAUAUGGGCCGUCAUUGAUUGGGCCCACUUUAAUUAAAUUUGAGGCCCACAAACUCAUGUUAAUGAAUGGGCCUAUUGAAUGGAUUUAAAAUAUGAAAUUUUUUUUUUCACUUCAAACAAUCGAAUGAUGAAAAGGCAUCAAAAAUAAUAAUUUUAAUGGCCGGUAUAAGAUCUUUUGUAGUUUAAUGAUAUAAUAAUUGGAAUUGGUCAAAUUUUUGACAGAAAAUUGGUUGAAUUGGUCGAAUAAUUGAUAAUUUUUCACAACUUAAAGAUGUUGAAGUAAAAUGAAAGGAUUUUAAUCAUCGGUCAAGAAAAUAAAUCUAAAG